rnacentral:rRNA from 1 species
UAGGGAAUCUUCCACAAUGGACGAAAGUCUGAUGGAGCAACGCCGCGUGAGUGAUGAAGGGUUUCGGCUCGUAAAACUCUGUUGUUGGAGAAGAACAGGUGUGAGAGUAACUGUUCACAUCUUGACGGUAUCCAACCAGAAAGCCACGGCUAACUACGUGCCAGCAGCCGCGGUAAUACGUAGGUGGCAAGCGUUGUCCGGAUUUAUUGGGCGUAAAGCGAGCGCAGGCGGUUUCUUAGGUCUGAUGUGAAAGCCUUCGGCUUAACCGGAGAAGUGCAUCGGAAACCAGGAGACUUGAGUGCAGAAGAGGACAGUGGAACUCCAUGUGUAGCGGUGAAAAUGCGUAGAUAUAUGGAAGAACACCAGUGGCGAAGGCGGCUGUCUGGUCUGUAACUGACGCUGAGGCUCGAAAGCAUGGGUAGCGAACAGGAUUAGAUACCCUGGUAGU